CCCUGAACCUGGAAGCGCGUCCCAGGCAGCUGGCCCAGCAAGUGCAGAGGCCCAGAGGCAGAAGUGAACCUAGUGUGUCCACUGAGUGGAAAGAAGCCCAAGUGGCUGGAACGUUGGAGUCAACAGGGGUAGGGUACAGACACCGCCAGAUGUUGUGGGGGUGGUCAGAGUUUUAUUCUGACAACAAUCGGAGGUUUUUACGCAUGGCUGUCAGGCGGGGGGAAUGGAGUUGGGGAGGCAGGUUGGGCUGCCAGGAUAGUGGAGCCCAGCCGGGGUCCUCUGUUUGGCCCAGAGAGUGGCCUCCCAGUGGGGAGAGGCUGGUGCCCCAGAGGGCCCGGCACAGCACCGCUUGCACCACUGCCAGCCGGCAGGGCCCCCUGGCUCCUUUGCAAACACGGUUCCACACUGCCUCCAUGGGAGCCCUCUGACUCAGGUGGAACCACUGUUCUCGGCUGGCCAGUCCCUCCCCCAGGAAAGGCCCUGCAGCUGGCCGUGGGUGGAUCUGGUGGGUAGAAUAGCACUCAGGGUCAGGUGGGUUCUUGCAUGGACUGCCCUGGACCUCCCUCCACCCUUCUCCAAACAGGCCUGCCUCCUUUAUUAACGUCUGCUGUCGGGUGGGGGCUGGGCCCCGGGGCUUGCCUUUCCUCCGUGCCCCCUGCUCCCCACGGGCCCUGGGCUCGGGUCAGACCCUGCGGCCUGGAGACAGGGUCCUGUCUGGAUGGGCCCUUCCCCUCACUGACCUCUCCCCUUCAGACACCGUCACUUGCCCCAGAAUCUGGCUGCCUCCUGUCCCCUGCCGCCUGCCCCCUGGCCCCUGGCAGAGGGUCACAGCGGGAGAGAACCUCCCUCUUUAGAGGGUCCUUAGUCCCAUGUCUCCUGACAGACCACCACCACGGACCGAACGUGUGAGUGUUUAUGGCGGAUCCUGCCAGCUCUUGCCCACCCUCUGCCCGCUGUCCUUUCCUGCUCGGCCCCACUCAGGGCAGCUUUCCCUGAGCCACAGGGCUGCCCGCACCGCGUGGCUCCCCCAGGCUGUGCCGGGCACCCGUCCUGAGUGCGGGCGGUGGUUCCUUCACUCAGCAAACCCCCCACCGUGGGGAGGAAAGUGGAGCUUGGGCCAGCGGGUGAGUGAGGGGCACCAUCGCAGGAUUCCGGGGGCCCUGCCGCUCUGCCCGAUGCUCCCAAGCUCCAGCGACUUCCUUCUGCAGCGCAAACGUGGGAAGGUAAGUACCUCAGGCGGAAGCCGGGAGGUUUUCCGUGGCGGACAUCGGCAGGAGACAGGGUGGGAAUGUAGGGCGGGAUCCUGGCUCCGCCAAAAACUGCAGAGUGCCCCCGGGCCAGCCCUGGUCCUCUGAGCCCAGGCUCCUGUUCGGUCAGUUGGGAAGACCCCGCUUCCUUCAGCAGUACCUGGCAUUUGGCGCCCGUCUCGGAGGAUCCUUGGGGCGCUGGGCGGGGAAGCGCCCAGCCCCGGGAUUUCAGUCCCUGCCGCCCCAGCAGGCCGGCGCCCAGGGCGGAGCGUGGGCUGGGGCUGUGUGGGCAGCUCGCCCGGCCCUGCUCUCGUGCCCUCUGGCGUCAGGCCGACCAGCAGUGUCCUUGGGCUCGAGCGCGUGCAGGGGAGGGGGCGGCCUCUGGUCUCGGGCUCCGCGGAGCGCUCCCGUGGAGGCGGGAGGCGCACGGGCAGACGCCAGGCCGGGCGGGGGCCGCUCCCAGGGAGGAGCUGGGGGAAGGCCGGGAUGGGCGCCGCCGCUCGCUGGGGCUCCCCCUGCCCUCGGGGCAGGCAGGUGCCGGGUACCCCGCCGAGGUCGCGCGCGGCCCGGGCGCUCGGCUGGCGCGCUGCAGCCUGCGCGCCGGGGACUUCGAGGCCGUGGGCGGGGCCGCCGCUCGGGGUGCGCGGCGAUUGGAUGGCGGCUGGGACGCGCGCCGCCGCUCCCUUUGCACACGCCCCUUCCACCUCUCAACGACGCCUCGGAGCGCCGCGAUGGGCUCUGCCCCAGUGCGCGUCGGCGAUUGGUGGAGGGGCGUGGCCCAGGGGCGCGGCUGCCCGCGGAUUGGCCGGGCGCGGCGGGGGCGGACCCGCGCAUGCACUUAAGGGGCGGUGCCGGGGUGCGGGGGGCAGUGCCAAGAUGUCGACGGCGGCGGUACCGGAGCUGAAGCAGAUCAGCCGGGUGGAGGCGAUGCGCCUGGGGCCGGGCUGGAGCCACUCGUGCCACGCCAUGCUGUAUGCCGCCAACCCCGGGCAGCUCUUCGGCCGCAUCCCCAUGCGCUUCUCGGUGCUGAUGCAGAUGCGCUUCGACGGGCUGCUGGGCUUCCCCGGGGGCUUCGUGGACCGGCGCUUCUGGUCGCUGGAGGACGGCCUGAACCGGGUGCUGGGCCUGGGCCUGGGCUGCCUGCGCCUCACCGAGGCCGACUACCUGAGCUCGCACCUGACCGAGGGCCCGCACCGCGUCGUGGCGCACCUGUACGCGCGCCAGCUCACGCUGGAGCAGCUGCACGCCGUGGAGAUCAGCGCGGUGCACUCGCGCGACCACGGCCUGGAGGUGGGGCCGCCGCCCGGGCCCCGCCCCCCGCCCCGGGGUUUGGCUCUGGCCCCGCGGAAGGCACCGAUGGGUGCUGGGGCUCGUGCGCGUCCCACUCUACACCCAGAAGGACCGAGUCGGCGGCUUCCCCAACUUCCUGAGCAAUGCCUUCAUCAGCACAGCCAAGUACCAGCUCCUCUUCGCUCUCAAGGUGCUCAACAUGAUGCCCGAGGAGAAGCUGGCUGAGGCCUUGGCUGCGGCCACUGAGAAGCAGAAGAAGGCCCUGGAGAAGCUUCUCCCGUCUUCCUCCUGAGCACCGUCUGCAGGCACCUCCAGGGGACGGUCUGGAAGCACUGGCCGAGUGUGCAGAUGACAGCAGCAGAGCCACUGCAGACAGGAAGGUCACCACUGGCGGUCUCCUAUGGCCAUGUCUGGAAAGUCUCCCCAGCGCCCGCCUGGCCUGGUAAGGAGAGCGGCACCCCGCCCAGCUGGGCAUCUGUUCGCCUUAGAGCCCGAGGGAGCGGCCGGCGCUGUGGGCACAGGCACUUGACUCUGUAAAUAAAGUACCUGGACCUUG